GACGAACGCUGGCGGCGUGCUUAACACAUGCAAGUCGAACGGAAAGGCCCUGCUUUUGUGGGGUGCUCGUGUGGCGAACGGGUGAGUAACACGUGAGUAACCUGCCCUUGACUUUGGGAUAACUUCAGGAAACUGGGGCUAAUACCGGAUAGGAGCUCCUGCUGCAUGGUGUGGGUUGGAAAGUUUCGGCGGUUGUGGAUGGACUCGCGGCUUAUCAGCUUGUUGGUGGGGUAGUGGCUUACCAAGGCUUUGACGGGUAGCCGGCCUGAGAGGGUGACCGGCCACAUUGGGACUGAGAUACGGCCCAGACUCCUACGGGAGGCAGCAGUGGGGAAUAUUGCACAAUGGGCGGAAGCCUGAUGCAGCAACGCCGCGUGCGGGAUGCCGGCCUUCGGGUUGUAAACCGCUGUCGCCUGUGACGAAGCGUGAGUGACGGUAAUGGGUAAAGAAGCACCGGCUAACUACGUG
rnacentral:rRNA from 1 species